rnacentral:rRNA from 1 species
GACAGAGGAGCCAAGCGUUGUCCGGACUGACUGGGCGUAAAGCGCCCGCAGGCGGCCGUGCGCGUGAGGUGUGAAAGCUCGCGGCUUAACUGCGAGAGGCCAUCCCAUACGGCACGGCUCGAGCCGUCCAGAGGCCGGUGGAAUUGCCGGUGUAGUGGUGAAAUGCGUAGAGAUGCGGAGGAACACCGAUGGCGAAGGCAGCCCCCUGGGCUAGCACUGACGCUCAGGCACGAAAGCGUGGGGAGCAAACAGG